rnacentral:misc_RNA from 1 species
GAUGAAGAACGUAGCGAAAUGCGAUAAGUAGUGUGAAUUGCAGAAUUCAGUGAAUCAUCGAAUCUUUGAACGCACAUUGCGCUCCUUGGUAUCCCGAGGGGCAUGCCUGUUCGAGCGUCAUUUCACCACUCAAGCCUGGCUUGGUGUUGGGCGACGUCCCCUUUGGGGACGCGCCUCGAAACGCUCGGCGGCGUGGCACCGGCUUUAAGCGUAGCAGAAUCUUUCGCUUUGGAAGUCGGGGCCCCGUCUGCCGGAAGACCUACUCGCAAGGUUGACCUCGGAUCAGGCAGGGAUACCCGCUGAACUUAAGCAUAUCAAUAAGCGGAGGA